rnacentral:misc_RNA from 1 species
UCUCCGUUGGUGAACCAGCGGAGGGAUCAUUACUGAGUGAGGGCUUCGGUCCGACCUCCAACCCUUUGUGAACCAAACUUGUUGCUUCGGGGGCGACCCUGCCGUUCGCGGCGUGGGGCCCCCGGGGUCAAUCAAACACUGCAUUCUCUGCGUCGGAGUAUUAGUAAAUCUAAUCAAAACUUUCAACAACGGAUCUCUUGGUUCUGGCAUCGAUGAAGAACGCAGC